UAUCUACACUUUAUAUACCACAAAUAUGUAUAUUAAGAUAAGUUUGUUACAAUACGAUCAUAAUUUUUCCUUUGCGUUAUAUCUUGUAGCUUUAGUAAUUAGUUUAUUGUUGUUGACAGACAUAUGUACAGUGAGACAAAACGAUGACCGCAUCGACGGCGAAUCCUUCAGAGAUGAUAGUUUAUAUCUGCGUCCUUUUUGUACAAGAGAGUACAGAAUACAUCCUGUCUCCAACUAAUGCAGAGUAUAUUCAAGCUGUCAACACACUGGUAGUGAAGAACCCUUUCCAGAGAAAUAUAGAAAGAAAUGACUGUGAAGCUUGUGUUGGGGAGGAUUCAGUGUCUGUUGAGGCACAUGUGAAUGUGUUAUAAAGUGAGUAUCAGAAAACACAUCCAGACACAUGGACUGUCAAAGACCACAUGACAGGAACAUGCUCCUGGAGACGCUGAGAAAGCACGGAAGGAAUGUCUGUGGAGGAUGUACUCAAAAUACACAUUGUUCAGGACACCUUCUGGAGUGAGUAUAUUAAAGAAAAAAACUAAAUCAACUGUAAAAUAUCUCGUUUCAAAUCUUUUCAGGUAAUAUUUUAUUCUUCUGUACCUUUUUAGCCCAUCUGUUAAAAAUUUUAAGCAAUAGUUUUAGAAAACAAUGUAAGAUUUAUCAGUCUAUACAAGAAAAUGAAAUGCAUCGUAUUGUGAA